CUGAUGACUUUGGCGUUGCAGCACCGAAGGAUUCGGUUCGGAUCAAGUAGGAUCGACUCCAAGUUGCAGAUGUGGAUAUAUUUCUCACGAAUUUGGCGUUGCAGCAUUGAAGGAUUUGGGCCAAGCAGAAUCGACUCGAAAAUGUGGUAUUUCUCACGAUUUGGCGUUGCAGCACCGAAGGAUUCGGUUCGGGCCAAACAGGAUCGAUUCGAAGGUCCGAGAUGACUGAUCCUGAAUCAGCGAUAUUGGUGAGUCAAAUUUAAGGUACUAAAUCGCUAUCUUUGAAAUCAAUGCGA